rnacentral:rRNA from 1 species
UACGAAGGGGGCUAGCGUUGUUCGGAUUUACUGGGCGUAAAGCGCACGUAGGCGGUUUGUUAAGUCAGGGGUGAAAUCCCAGAGCUCAACUCUGGAACUGCCUUUGAUACUGGCAAGCUCGAGUCCGGAAGAGGUAAGUGGAACUCCUAGUGUAGAGGUGGAAUUCGUAGAUAUUAGGAAGAACACCAGUGGCGAAGGCGGCUUACUGGUCCGGAACUGACGCUGAGGUGCGAAGCGUGGGGAGCAAACAGG